GUAAACUUUGAAAACUAUGAAGCGAUGCUGUCAUUCAUCCAUGUGAAUGGGAAUCAUUGGAACAUGCUGGUUUGUUGCCUUCUUAAUUUUCACUCAGUAAGAUGUUUGUUAUCACAUCGUGAAAUAAAGUAUUAAUUACAGUAUACCCUCUCUUCUUUCACAGUACAUUCAUGCAAAGUCUGGCACAGUCUUCCAAUUGGAUCCAUCACCAGCAUCCUCUGAGCUUGAGGACUCUGCACAUGCCGCCACGAAAAUACAGGAAUACUUCAAGAUGAGGAGAACAUCCCAUGGGAAAACGGACUGGGUUGAUGUUCAGUGGAAAGGAGGAGUAAUGCCCCACCCAGUGCAAAGGGAUGGUUGCAGUUGUGGCGUUAUUGUUGUUGAAAUGGCCAGAGCAGUAAUGGGAGCCUUCCCUCAGUUGCCCCAAAUGCAAUUUGAAACCACCAGGAAAGCCAUGGGAGAAUCUAGGAGGAAUAUGGGUCUCCAAGUCCUUGAGGCAUCAGUCUUUGAUGAAGAGACAUGUGCAAUGUGUGGAGCUGACAGGCCCCCUGGAGAAGCACCUGCCAACACAAACUGGAUCCAGUGUGAUAAAUGUGACCGGUGGUUCCAUGCCGUCUGUUUAACCAUGGACCCCAGGACACUUCAAGAGCUGAAGCAAAAGCAAUGGCUGUGUGUGCUGUGCAAAUAAAUAUUUUACCUGUUACCUGUCCUACAAGUGCCUCACGACCUUUAUA
rnacentral:lncRNA from 1 species